UGAUAAUUACGGUAAGAUAUGUUUGAUAUUCUUGGUUGUUGCAUUUGAAUAGUACACCCAGGAAUCAAACAUAUUACUAUUGUGAUUAUUC
rnacentral:pre_miRNA from 2 species